AGUGUGGCUCAAUGGUAGAGCAGCUCAUUCGUAAUGAGCAGGUUGGGGGUUCGAUUCCCUUCACU
rnacentral:tRNA from 1 species